rnacentral:rRNA from 1 species
AUGAAGGGGUGCACAUCAUUGAGCGGGAAGCAGCAGGCAGGACGCCGUGGAGCAGGGGCGUCGUCGUCCUCAAGCCACCCUCUCCCGCUCAAUGGAUGUGACCUCGCCGGUGCCGACAUGACGAAGGACGGCGAGCCUUGGGCGAAAAUCACCGGAGAGGUGCGCUACAUGGAUGUCGAUUUCUGCAAGGGGACUGAAAACCUACCCGAAUUUGACUGGGGUAUACCUCUAUCCUCUCCUGAUGCUGCUUUCAAUGGCACUGACAAAAGUGACCAUUGUUGCCACUUACUGAACCCUGCGAGAAGAGUUUGCUCUGAUGGAUAUGACUAUGGUCGUAGAUUUCUUGUUUGUCCUCGUGAGGGUUAUGAUACAUGUGCUUAUCUGAAGUAG